GACGAACGCUGGCGGCGUGCUUAGCACAUGCAAGUCGAACGGAAAGGCCCUGCUUUUGUGGGGUGCUCGAGUGGCGAACGGGUGAGUAACACGUGAGUAACCUGCCCUUGACUUUGGGAUAACUUCAGGAAACUGGGGCUAAUACCGGAUAGGAGCUCCUGCUGCAUGGUGGGGGUUGGAAAGUUUCGGCGGUUGGGGAUGGACUCGCGGCUUAUCAGCUUGUUGGUGGGGUAGUGGCUUACCAAGGCUUUGACGGGUAGCCGGCCUGAGAGGGUGACCGGCCGCAUUGGGACUAAGAUACGGCCCAGACUCCUACGGGAGGCAGCAGUGGGGAAUAUUGCACAAUGGGCGGAAGCCUGAUGCAGCAACGCCGCGUGCGGGAUGACGGCCUUCGGGUUGUAAACCGCUUUCGCCUGUGACGAAGCGUGAGUGACGGUAAUGGGUAAAGAAGCACCGGCUAACUACGUG
rnacentral:rRNA from 1 species